CUCCAGAGAGCAGCCGAGAAAAAGAGCGGCAGAGGAUGUGAGCGUGUGAACGGCGGCGUGCCGAGCGCCACGCGCAGAUAACAAACAGUUUAUCAGCGAGCCAGAGAAACUCUGCUGGAGAGCCAUCCUGCCACAAUCAGACGGAGGUGGAGGUGAAGAGAGGGGGAAGAGAAAUGUAAAGAGCAAAGACCAGAAGAGGCGGGAAGACGGAGGCCAGGGAUACGACUAUAAAUGCUUCUCUUAUUAUGGCUGACG
rnacentral:lncRNA from 1 species